rnacentral:lncRNA from 1 species
AUGGACGUUGGUGGGUUUGGUCACCAAGCAUCUGUCCCUUCUUCCUUUGGGGAAGUCCUCCCCUCCCCUCUGAGAACAGUGUUGCUGGGAAGGCAAACAGGGUACCUGCCAUCCCUCUUCAGGAGCCAGUCAGGUCCUUGGAGUCUUCUUGGGCCUGGCUCUUCCUCUGCAGGGGUGGGCUUGGGAUCCAGGCUCAGCCACUGCGAUGCUCACGGAAUCUUGUAUGACAUAAAUAGAAACAGAACUCUGGGAGCCCAAGACGCCAGCUGUAGGCCCUGCGGGCCUGGUUUUCAUUUCAGCAGCUGCCCCAGGAUGUCUUCAUUCCAGCAGUCCUCGUCCCAAAUGUCUCCCUUCCCACCCAAGCCAGGCAGGCGGCUGCCCUCAGCGGGUGCUCAGGCAAAGAGCGGGAAGCCAGUGGCUUUGAUUCCGAGAUGGUCUGUCUGUUUUCUGUGCCAGGAGGUCUCCACACGGUGCAGACAAAUGCCUCUAAGACUUUAACCCCAACGCACAGUCCAGGGAAAGAAGAGUAAGGGCCCUGCCUGGGGGCUUGAGCGGGGCUUAUACCCAGCUGAGACAAGGCCUUGCCACGCUGUGUCUGCUGGAGGGACCGUUUAUAAUUCCUGCAGCAGCAAAGCCUCGGUGACAGGAAGAUCCAGCUGUCAGAUCCUUCGCCGUCCACUGAGCCUCAGAUGCAGGACCUGGAGCGAGGACUCUGUCUGCAGCCAUGCUGGACCAGAGGAACGCGUGCAGCCUGCCUGAGCCCUCUUGGUCCACGGUGUUCAAAACACGUCGGAUCUAAGAAGGGAGAGAUUCCAGAUGGAAAUGCAUGGGGGGUGUCCCGGCCCCAGACAAACGGAGUGGGGUCAGGCCGAGGGAGAGAUGGCCAGACGGGGGCCUGCGAGGGCACUGAGUGCAGUUGCUACAGGCAGGAGCUGGGUGGAGGCUGGGGGCUGUCCAAGGGGCCAGCAGGUGGGCCUGGUGGUCUGCAUGAGUUAGGGAUCCUGAGGGCACAGCAGACUCAACCAUCGGUGCAACCUCCCGUGGGAAGGACAGACCAGGUGGCAGUGUGUGAAAUGUCCUUAGGCCUCCCCUCCUCCGCCCACCCCAGCAGCUUAGAACUGAACACUUUGAUGCUGUUGAACCAGCAAUGCUGUUUGUUGAGUCUCUGAUCCCUCCGUUUUUUUAGGGGGGUAGAGAACAACAUCAGCGUAGAGUUGUUUUUUAAAAUCUGAAUUAGGUACCAUAUUGGUUAGCCAUCACUGCCUGACAGACGACUCCAAAGCUUAGUGGCUUGAAACACUUAAAACAACAAAUAUUCCUUAUUUUCCAUUCGUCUGCAGGCUGGCUGGGUGGUUCUGCUGCGCUGGGCUGGGCUCCCUCUUUUUUCUGCAGAGCUGGUGGCUGGGCUGGGGGUGGGCCAGGUUGGGAUGACGUGGCUCCGUGCCACGUGGUCUCCGAUCCUCUGGCAGGCUGGCCCAGCUCGUCCUCAUGGGGACAGGGGGACAGUGACAGAGCGCAAGGCCACCUGAAGCCCAGGUCAGGGCAGGUACACUCUCUCUGUCACAUUCGGCCGCUCAAAGCAGAUUCACUGAGGGGGAAUGGACUCCGCGUCUGAUGGGAGGAGUCCACAGUCACUGUAGGCAGGGUAUGGAUAAAGAAAGAGAUGGGCCUGAUUUUGUCACCAAUCUACCAAGUUUCUGGCUUCUCAAGUUGGGGGUCUGGAUUCCCACUGUCCACGGUGGACUGGCUACCCCUUUAGACAGGCUGUCCUUUUCUGACUUAUACAAUCUCUCCAGGCCCGUGUGACCCACCUGGCCCCAAGUGAGUUGGCAACUUCUUCCUUCAACCAGCAGCUCAUGCUCGCUAACCAUCUAUGGCUCCCCAUUGUCUACGGGAGAAAGUCUAAGCGCCUUAGUUUGGCAUUGAAGACUCUCCAUUGUGACAGUUCCGGGCUCAUCUCCUGCCUCUGCCUCAGUAUCCCUCUCCGCUGUGCUCCCUAAACCCUCAUCCCACAUUUGCAAGCACAAGACUCUUUGUGUGUACACUUCAGAAUCUGUCUGCUUCACGGGCUCUUUCUUCUGCUGGGAAUGCUUUUCCUCUGCCUGCGGAAACCUACUCGUCCUUCAGGGCCCAGCUCAAUGUCAUGUCUGCAAGGUCUUGCCUGAUCCUUUUGGGCCUCCCCUAUACCACUCCCCAUCCUGACCCAGCACCACUAAUUCUUCCUCCCCUCCUCUGUCUGCAAGAGUGCUACCAACACAGCCCUCUCAGCCCACUUGGUGCUACUGCGGACACGCCCGCUGCCUGCCCUCUUUCUCUCUUCUCACGCCCUGUGAGGCACAUCAGGGUGAGGAGUGGAGAGGCUUCCGGCCAGCCAGACCUCCACUGACGCGCUGGCUCCACCACUCAGGAGCUCAGUACCCUGGGCAAGCUGCUUAAGCAGCUCUCUGAGCCUCAGUUUCCCCAUCUGUAAAAGAAAUUCACAAUGUGUCUUCCUCUAAGGGGUUGUUCUGAGAGGCUUAAUUGAGGCAACACAUAGAUUAUGCUUAGUACAGCGCCUGGGACCUAGUAGAUGCUUAGCGAAUAUUUGUUGCGUGAGUACGUCUAGGCCAGCCCAGGUCUUUCGCCAUCUCUACACCUCCCACCCCACCCUUCCUGCCAGCAUCCACGAGACCCACUCCAUUUCCUUCCUGACAACACUACUUCUGUUCUUUGAUCCAUGUCCACGUCUGAAUCACUUUGCGAGGACGAGAGAGAGGGAUGCAAAACAUGUCCACAAAGUACUUGAAAUCAUUGCCAUUUGGGGGUCAGAAGACAGAGAUUAGUUGCCCGUCUCUGUCUCACAGACAAAUUAAUCGAGUGGCAGCUUUUGGUGCAAAAUACGCUUCUUGUCGAAAGGAUUAGACACCCUAAAUCCAGCUAGAAUGUGCUGUGAUCGUGUGUGGGGUUUUUCUAAGCAAAGCUGCAAUAAUCAUACAUUUACAACGAAUAAAUUGGGUCCUUUAAUUCCUCUGCA